AGGGCUGUACUAUCCGCAAACGUUUCCCAAUGUUCCGUGUUUUUUUCCACAAGUAUUGUAGCCAAAUUAUUUCUACCCAAAUUAGCAAUUGCCACUCAUGCAGAAAAAAAGUUAACAUUUUGUCAUGUCAAAGUUUUGGAGAAGAGGGUGAUGAAGAGGAACAGCUUGCUUUCUGUCAAAUGCUUACUCUUUGUGUGGAUCAUGCAGAGACACCAGUCUAAUAAGCUCGCAACUGAAGCCCCACUGGCACUGUGAUAAUAAACCAUUGUGCCUUUGUGCACCUUUAAGUAGGUGAGCCAAUAAAGAGAGAAAUAUACACGUUCCUUGUAAGUCAUUUGAAACUGUUAGACUAUAAAACACCAGCAUUACCUCUCUUUAGCCCUAGACACAACAGCUUCUCUUUAGUGUGAAGCUUGGAUCAUUCCUGAAUAUUUUUAUCUCAGUUCCUUGUCCUCUAACAUACCACCCAGGCAGGCUUCUGAGUAGCCUUUGGUGUGCUUAGGUCACAAAAGAAAAUUAUUCCCUCUGCUUUUCAUCUUAUUAAGAGUUUGGGACUGCAGUUUGGGCAGUUAACAGUGACAUUCCAGGAUGUACAACUACUGUUCUCCUUUGAAUUUUUCUUAUUACUAGUCAGGGUAACUGGUACUUGGACUUCUUCAUGGACUUGAAAAAAGAAUAAUCAAAGUCUUGUUCCUGUUCCCAUUUAAGCUAACAAAACUUUUGUCACAACUUCAGCAGAGCCCCAGGCCCCCAAGGAGGACUUUCACAACUUGCAGCUUCAGCUUUUGAAGUUCCACAUGGUUCAACUCAAAAGUUGAGUCACUUGGGAGGUGCAUUCUUUUCAAAUUCUUUUCACAGCAAAACUCAGAUUCCAAAAAUUGUAGAGGCCAGUUUAAAAUAGAAAUAAUUUUACCAAGCGUGCCACUCGUUUCUCUCCAUUUUUUUCUGCAUUACCUGUUGCUUACUGUGACCUUGGCCAGUUCACAUGGGACUUGCUGUUAAUUCAAGAGGAUGUGGUCACUGGAAGAACAAACCAGCAGUAGCGUUAGAGAAACAAAGUGCAGCAGAAUAAUAAGCAUCUGGACCAUAAACACUGCUACCACAUGUGAUGGACCAUAUCCAAGUUAAACACUCUCACCAGAGCAUGCUCCAAGACAGACGACUGGGCGUCAGGCUUUGCCAAUACAAUGCAGUUCUAUUCUCUAUUUAUUUUUGUAGUUCAAAGACCUGGCAGUAGCCCAUUUGAUGCCUGCCAUAAGGACCAGUGCACUCCUGAUUACUGCCAUGAGAUUUCCAAGCCCACAGACGGCAUAUAUUCCAAUGUAUGCCAGUCACCAAGAUAGACCAUGCACAAAUAGCAGCAGGAUUCUCUGAGAGAAAGAGAAAAGCCAGCUCCUAUUUCCACUUUGAAGCCCCCCAUAAUAGGCUGCCAACUUGAGGACCUUGCUUUAAUCACAGCAGCCACAUGAAAGAGUUCAUUCUGUUUAUCUUGGUUCAUUUAGGAAACCAGUGAUAAGUCUGCCAUGAAAAAAAAACAUCUUCUCCUGGAAGCUGGCAUACUUGUCCCAAGAUAUGGGCUUUGAUUUCAUUUUAAGUGCAGUUAUUUACAGUCAUACCACAGAGUGCAUGAGUUUUCUCAUUCUACCAGAUGACUCCUUUUCCCUGAUAAGCAAGCUGUGAAUACUUAAAAUUUCCUCUUAAGUACAAUGGCAUCUCUGAAUGGAAGUGGUAGGAAGAGGGCAGCAGAUGCUCCUACAGCUUCAGGUUAAGUGUGCAAGCUGCAUCCUGAUGUUCGCACCCAGCCAGGCAGUAAAAGGAACUGAAGGAAGAACUGUGGCCCACACACAGGAGGGAACAAGGUGUGCGAUGUGACUCAACUUUCUCCCACUAGGCUUUCUGAAGCAAAUAAGACAAGCGUACUUGUAAAUAAAGAUAUGAGGCUGGUGCUCAACUACUGAAUAUGGAGUAUUAUUUUGCCAUGAAACAGCAAUAUCAGAAAAAAAAACAAAGUUGCAGACUAAUUGUGGAUAAAAACAUAUAAUCCUCUUCUGCAUGAGUGGACUGCAUUUUCAGCGGUAGAGUAUUGUGGAUAACCAAACAGAUAAUCUUGUCCCUGUAAAUAAGAGCAAUAUAUGUACUUUUUAACUUUGCUACCAUCUACAGACCACUGGCAUCCCCCAGUGCACUUUGUGGUAUAGCCAGAUUCUGUAGUGUUGUUGCUUUAGUUUUCUGGGCUCACUAUGUACCUCAUAGGGUUUCAGUGUCAGUGAAUGCAAUUCUCUCUCUGCUAAUAAGAAGUUUUAGAAGGUGUGAAGUGGUUGACGGGUUCUUUUGAACCCAGUGGAUGCAAGGUAGUGGCUGUUGAUGAUGGGAGUACGCACUGGAGACUAUUUAGCCUCAGAUUGCUAAAGGAUUUCGGAAGCUGCGACUGAGUGGAAGACAUUUAUGAACAUAUUUGAUUUCUGGACCCUACAUGAACCCUUAACUUCUGGCAAAGACAGAAAUGAGAAUGAAGAGAAAAACUCUUGCAUUUGGAGAAAGAUGUAUUAUUUUCAAGUUCUGAAGGAUCAUUAUCUUCAGCACAACCAUUUUUCCUCUUGAAAUGUAGGUUAUAUUACUACAUUUACUUCUGACUUCUCAGCCCUUGGCACCCAUAAUUCUAUUUUUCCAUUUAAAAAAUUGCUGAGGUCUCUGUGCUGAUAUCUCAGCAAACACAAUAUUUCAUCUCUGACUGUAUCCUGUUUAGUCUGGAUUUGUUCAUGUUCGCAAGCAAUAGAUUUGAAAUACAGCCUUGCAGAAUAAUCAGUAAUAAACACACAAAAGUGACAGGCAAUAAUUUCAUAGUUUUCAUAAGAGAUAAAGUAAGAUAUUUUACAAAACUUUGCCAUAUCAUGUGAAUGUGCCAAUUUACCCCUCACAGUACGUUAGAUACAUUUGUAUUGUGAGAUAUUAGGAGAUGCUACUAUAAAUCUUGCAGUAUCUUGCAAAUGUGCAAUUACUCUUCACAAGUGCCCAGAUGGGGAUUAUAUCUCAUUAUGUCAAGUGCCAUGCAAAAAAAAAAAAGUCAGCUGUAAUUAAUGGGGUUGGAGACUUCAAGAACAGAUCUGCUGAUGAAAAAAACAAAAACGGUCAGAGUAUCUGCUUGAAUCACAACUCAAAUGACUGGCUGUUUACGCUAACCUUGUCCAAAGCAUGUAAUCAUCCUGAGAAUGCAAAACUGGACUGAAUCACAAGAGUGACGUUCCUUGCAAGCUUUCCACUAUGCGCUUUGUCUACAUGUCUAUGCAUUAGAAUAAUGUCCAAAAUUUUUCUUUUCUAAUGCUACAGUAGCUUUCAGAUUUCUGACCUUUUUAGAAACAGAAAUAACAGAUCCUUAAAAAAAAAAAAAAAACCAAA